AACAAAAGCAAUAGCCAGAGUAUCACCAUUUUUGAGUUGGCUCCCUGGACCCCAGUUCUCACAGGAACGAAGCACACGGGCCCAGAUGCAUGCUUACACACAAGAUGGGUUGCAUUACAGAAGAGGAAUGCUGAGCUUGGGGAACCCACCAUGUUAUAGUGAGCAGUAAGCAAGCCUGCUCUUUGUUCCAUAGGGAGACAUUACCUCAUCCCUCAAGAUUGCUCGCUGCAAACACAACGCUGAGAAAUGGCCCAAGUAAAGCGUGAUCAGGGUCUUGCAUUCUUGGCACAUCUAGGAAGAACGUGCAAGGAUGCGAAUUGUGAAUCGCUUCUCCAAACACCCAUUAACUUUUGUUUAGCCCUAAAGUCCCAAGGCUUACAAAAGGACAUCAAGCUGGAUAUUCUUCCACCUGACUCCUCAAGGUCCCUCACCAGUAUGACUGACUGUGCAAUGGAUCAUUGCCUCUAAAGAAUCUCUCCUAAGGAAAUAAUCCUAAUUGCAAUCCUGAUCUUGUUUCUCCCUAUGCUAAUGAGGAUACAUUAGCAUAAAACAAGGGGCUUUGGCAUUCCAGAAGGAAAAAUAGGAGCCUCUGCAUCUUCACUGGAAAACCAGAUGAUGGCACUUCAUGUAGGGGUGAACAAUAGCGUAAGGACAUUUCAGAAUUCUGAUUUGAUCCUGUAUGCCCUAUCAUUCUAAACAAAUGAGACCUGUUCUCUUCAAAUUUCUUAUUAUUUGGUCUUCCCACCCCACCCCAAGUUACAGCCACAGUGAUUAGUUUGGUGUUUGUUCUUCCAGAUUAUCUAAUAAAUAUACUAAUACGUAUCUGUGCAUACAAUUUUUGUGGAUGUGGAAUGUUACUACAUACAUAUUCUUGCAACUUGACUAUAACAUUUUUAAGGUUUUUAGCUCCUACAAAGGGCCAUUGCUUUCCCCCAUAGGGAGGGCUUAGCAAAGAACCCUACAUAUAAUAGGUCUUUACAUGUUAGAUUCAGUGUCUUUCUUUGCUGGUGAGCAUUUCCUCUCACACCAAAAGACAGUAUUUUAAUAGGUUGGGAUCCAUUAUUUGGGCAGGAUUCUGUAGGGAAAACUCAUCACCACUUCAUAUAGCAUCAGCCAUGCGGCUCAACUGAGGGCUGUUGGAUCCACUUCUAAGAUGACUCACUGCUGGCUGGCUGUUAAUGCUGGGUUGAGGCCCUGGGGCCUUGGUUUGUCUCCACAUUGGCCUCUCCAUUAGGCCUGGACUUCCUCACAAAAUGGUGGAUGAGUUCUAAGGGUAAACAUCGCAAGAGAGAAAACCAGACAAGAGAGCAAAACUUGCCUUUUGUGACCUAGCCUCAGAAAUCACAUAGUGUCUAUUAAUUGAAGCAGUCCCAAAGUCCCACCUGGGUUCAAGGGGAGGAGAUACUGACUACACUGUCCUUGAUGGGAGGGUGGUAAGAUUCUGGAAGAGAGAUGGGACCAGAAAUGUUGUUGCAGCCAUUUUGGGGAAGUGCAAUCUACCACAACGCAUAUGUAUGUACUCCUAGGCAAUAUGCUAUUUAAUUUUGCAUGUUUUACGCUUUAUAGAAACAUCCAUACUGAAUAUGUUUUUCUACAACUUUGUUCCCUCAACAUUUAUGAGUCGCUUAUAUUUUUGGAGUUCAUUUAUUUUUAGAAUUGUAUAAUAUUUCAUUGCAAUUAUUUGCUACAAUUUAGUUCUCUGUUAUUUUGGUGAAUGUUUGUGCUCUUUCUAUAUGUUUCCAACCCUUUUUUUCUAUAUAUUUAUGCUUUUUGCUAUUUUGUACAGCUGCUCUGAACAUUCUCAUAGAACUUUGCACAUGAGCCUAGGGCAAGAAUUAUCAACCAGUGUGAUUUUUAGCAAUGUCAGAGGCAUUUAGCAAAUGUCCUACACAUUUUUUAUUUUUAUGACUGGAGUAGGAAGCGUUGGUACUGACAUCUGGCAGGUAGAGGCUAUGGAUGUUGCUAAAUAUCCUACAGGAAAGCCCCCUAUAACGAUUAGCUGGUCCAACAUGUCAAUAGUGCUGAGAUUGAAAAAUCCUAGCUUAGGGUAUAUAUGGAGGAGUAGAAUUCUCACUCAAUGAUAGGAUAUUCACAGUUUCAACUUUAUUAUAUAAUACUAAAUUGUUUACCCAAGUGGUUGAGCAAGUCUAUACUCCUACCAAAGGGAGGCUCCACAUCCUCUGAUAUUGUCAAUCUUCUUAGAUUUUGCCAGUUCAUGUUUUUUUCCUUCUGAAAUGCACAUUUGUGUGCUUUGUCCAUUUUUAUAGAGUAAAUGUUUAUAGGAUUGAUUUGUAGGCAUUAUUUAUAUAUUCUGGAUACUAAUUCUUUGUUGGUUGUAUGUGUUGAAAAUAUCUCCUCCCAGUCUGUGGCUUAUCCUCUCACUUCUUCCUGGUUCUUUUGAUGAACAGAUGUUCUUAAGCUUCAUGUAGUUAAAUCCAUCAAUCGUAUACUAUCCAUCAGGCUUGUGAUUUAGGGUCAUUAUUUAAGAAAGAAUGUCCUGCCCUGAGGUUAUCAUUGCUUCCCAAGCCUGGCAGCAUUUUGGGGUUUUAUCUUUUCCAGCUGGCAAGACCUGGAGUUCCUCUUGCUGACCCCAGAGGUGCCUGGCCUUCCUUAUCCUCCACUGUUUGCUCAGUCCUUAUGAACACUCAGAUUGUAUUUCCUAAUGUACUCCAUUUUCUCUGUUGGGCUCUUUCUACAACCUCUGUAGCCCUCUCUACCCAGGACUGGACUCUACUGUCUCGGGACUGGCCUCAAAAUGAACUGACUUCUCUGGAACCACAGUGCCCCACUUAGUAUCAGCACUGCUGAAGAUGUCCCUUAGAGAUUAGCCAUGGCAGGAUUGAGCCCCAGUUUUCUAAAGUACUUGGAUGGUUUCAUUUGCACUCAUGUGGGGUAUUCUCCUCUAGGGCUAAAAUCAAAAAUGGGGCAAAGCUGAAGAUGCCAAGUGGUCCCCAGGAACAUUACUGCUCACAGGAGGGACACCCCAAGAUGAGCAUAUCUGCUCUGACCACAUACCUUCUAGCCAGGCCUAUCUACCCAGGGCCCCUCAGAACCGACCAUGAUUAAAGGACAGCCUUGGUGUGAUCUGCUCCAUCCAGGGAAAUCAUUCAGAGUUAAUUUUGCUUCCUUUUCCCUCCAUUCCGGUUCUGUCCACAUCCUGACUUCUGAUAUGUCCUCCCUUCUGGAUCCUUCUCCCAUCCUUUAGACUUCACAUUGAUCUGGGUUUCCCUGGCUUUGACACUCAGUAAGGGCUUUGGGCAAAACCCACCUUUUGGUUCCAGCAGCUCCUGUUUGCCCCAAGAAAGGCACCUUAUCCUAGCUCAAGUCAUGAUGACCCAAACCCAAGGACCUAGAUAAAGUUGAAGAGAUAUGAUUCCAGGUGCCUAAUCUGAACAGUUGUCGAGCUUGGGAGAAGAUAAAUCUUAAAGUGGGGAACAGGGAGAAGGUAAAAGUAAGAAUCUAAAAACCCAAACAGCAGGAAGAGAUAGGAAAGUAGACAGGCAUAGGAGGAUUUGAGAACCCAAAAUGUAUGCCUAUGAUGCAGAGCCAGCAUGGGAGGCAUUAUAAUGGCUGAGAACUUGGGCUUUGUAGAUAGGCAAGGAUCUCCUCACCUUACUAGUUGUGCGACCUCAGGCAGGUUAUCCUCCCAGAGCCCUGUUUUCAUCAUCUGUAAAGUAGGGCUGGUGUAAAAUGUAUUAUUAACCAGAAUACCCUAAUUUCUGUCCAGAUCAAAAAAGAUUUUAAACCAAAUGAAACCAUCCACAAUGCAUGUCAAACGCACCCCCAAAAUGGAGUUUUGAGCUUCUAGCCCUUUCUGCAAAGAAAAUCCUGGCUCCUCCAUCUUGUUUUUUUUUUUUUUCCUCUCCUCUUCACUUCCUGUUUACCAUCUCCAUUUUCUUUUCCAGUCUCUGUGCCUGUGCUUUGGGCCACUUGAUUGCUUUGGGUGGCCAGAGUAGAGAGCAGAUGAAUGUCAUUGUGUUUGAAGAAGCCAAGGAAAUGUGACAGAAGAGUUUUAAGAGAAUCAUCAGCCCAGUGUAGACAUUUCAAGUGAUGUUAAGAGUUGGAGUGGAAGAAACAUUAUGAGUCAAUUCCUCAGUCACUAUUAUGGGAUAACCAGGAUUUGGUAGGAAAAGCAGAAGGAAGAGGUAGAUGGCAUAAGAAUCAAAGAUCAUUUGUACAAAGGAGAGUUGAGCAAAGUAUCAGGGGAGCUAGGACAAUGCUGAUCGCUUCUGAGUCCCCACAGGAUGUGGGAAAAUGAGCAGCCUUCCAUGAAAUUUUACUUAUGUCCACCGACUCAUCCUUAUUUGUUUAUUAGUUGGUACCUGUCAUUCUCACUAGAAUGUAAGCCACAUGAGGUUAGGAGUUUCCUUUUGUUCUCUACCCUAUUCUCCACUGCUGAAAAUAGUGCCUGGCAUACAACACAGCUCAAUAAACAGCUGUGGGCAAAUGAAUGAAUGAAUGACUUGGCCCUGGCCAAGUCAUUGGACCUCAGGAAUGGCAUCUUUCAAUUAGAAGUUGUUGCUACUCUAACGAUUUUGUUAAUCAUUAGGUGGCCUAUCUUCACCAUGCUUCCUAUACAAAAGUGAAUUGCCUAAAACUCAGCAUCGGCGCUUCUCCCUCAAAGUUUUAGACAAUAAACUCUGACUGUUUGAAACUCAGCUGUUUGCCUUCACCACUCCUCCUCCCAUCUUGCCUCCUCCCAUCCUCCUCAACUGCUUUUUCUGAUGUUGGCCAAGAUAUCAGAACCUGAGAUUAGUAUCAGAAAAUUGAGCUCCUACCAUGACCCCACACCAAAGCUUGAGGCUUUCAAUAACAAAGACAGACACCCUCCUUUCUCCAAGAGCCUAUAUAUUGUGAGGGAAUUGAUAAUUAAAUAUGUGAUUGUAUAAUGGUUUAAUGAGAACCACAACAGGGGAGGUGCUACCUUCAGAAAGGCUUCCCUCGAGAAAUGAUACCUGAGUAUUAAACUGCAGGAUGAGUAGGAUUCAGCUGAGCAAAGAAGGGUUGGAGAAAAGUAGACAGCAGGGAAAAUCCCUGAUCCUAGAGAAGUGGGUCUUGUUGGAGGAGCCAGAACUGGCAGGUGGCUGGGAACCCAGUAGGAGGUGUGAGUAGUGGGUAAAACCAGGGCUGCAACAAGCGUUAGAAACAGAUUAUCCUAAGGCAAAAAUAACUCCCUUUCACUGCUGCUGCUGGUUUGGUUGGCAAAAGGACAGGAAGUGCCCUAUGAUAUGAAGCAAGCACACAACAAACCUCCUGGACCUGUCCGCAUCACACUGUGACUCACCAGCCGCGCGCGUGCUGGGCAGGUAGAGGCUGGAGCGGUCAGGAGCAUGCCUGGCUCCUGGUGCCUCUCUAUGGAGAGCACCUCUGUGCCUCUCUGAGAGCACUCACAGCCAAAAGUACACAGCUGCCCCCAGGCUGAGAGUGCUUGAUACACCCUUGAAUCCCCUCUUAUAUGAUGCCCCAGCCCAGGAGAGAUAAAAGCAUCAGCACCAUGAGAUUCACCUGCCUCUGGUCGUUAGAGAUGGAAUUUCAACAUGUUGCCCAGACUGGUCUGGAACUCCUGUGCUCAAGUGAUUCGCCUGCCUCGGCCUCCGAAAGUGCUGGGAUUAUAGGCAUGAGCCACCCUACCCAGCCAAAAAGUAUAAAUACUCUUAGACAGCAAAAAUGCUUUCUCCCAGUCUUGUUCCCUUGUUCUCAGUUCCCACCCUGCCUGGAUAACUACUGUUCUUGGUUUCUUGUGUUAAAGAUGGAUCUUGAUAGUCUCGUACCAGAUUCAAAAAUCAGUCAACUACUUCAAAAACAAUGACAUGCUGGCUACUUAAAUAGAAAAGGAGGCUUUUUUUUUACUCUGUCACACAUUUGCUGCCUAGGAUUGAAUUACCUGCCCUGCUCCCCACCCUCAGAGCUAUAUAAAUUCUGUCCUAAACUUUUUCUGUUUCUGACAGUCUCUACAACAUAGCCUUUGUUGUACUAUGAAUUUUUAUCUCAGCCAUCUUUGUCUAAGUUUCUUUGUUUCGAUGUCUUGAAGCUUAAAGCAGAUUCUAUUACUUGGAAGCUUAGUGAAUUGGCCCCAGUUAAUCAGAUAAGCACUAAAUAAAUUCCCUGGAAACCUCCAACAGAUAGACUUUAAAAGAUCCAGCACAAUCGGUUUAUCCUGACAAGAUUACAGCUGAUACGGUGAAGAUGGAGGAGACUCUGGUUUUCUGAAUAACUUGAAGCGGACUCUAAGAAAGAGGAAGGCAUCAGGAAUGUGGACGGGCAGCCGUGCUCAGGCUCAGGCUGGAUGUGUGCUGUGGCCAGCAGCGGCUCUGGACGGCAGUCAGCAAACCAGGCAACAAGAACCCAGCAUUCCUGCAGUCAGAAAGAAAAUUCAUCUGGGAAGAGGGACCUUUAGAGAGCUCUGGCUGCCCACUUCCUGGGCACUCUUGCUUCUCAGUCUGGAGGAAGGACCCUGGUAGCUCAGUCAUGGUCAGCACCAUCUCCAAGACUGCCCAGCACAGUCCUCCAACACUUUACCCCAAACACAUGCACACUUAGUGUUACCUAAUGCAUUUGUCCCAAGUCAUCACUUCUCUACAAAGAGCUUUUAAUUCACUGGCUCAGGUGGCUCUGGAUGAGUUAGGAGGGGUCACCAAUGUGGUUUCCUCUGAGGAAACUCUCUCCACAGGGUUGUUCUGUAAACUGACUAUCCCACACAUCUCUGUGACCUGGUACUGCAUUUAAAGAUGUUGGUCAAACUCAUGGAAGCAGAGUAGCAUGGUGGUUGCCAGCGAUUGGCAGAAGGGGAAAGGGGAGAUGAUGGUCAAAGGGUACAAAGUUUCCGUUACACAAGACAAAUAAGUUCUGGAGAUCUACUAUACACCAUAGUGCCUGUAGCUUUGAAUGCUAUAUUAUAUACUUAAAAUUUGCAGGCCAGGAGCGGUGGCUUAUGCCUGUAAUCUCAGCACUUAGGGAGGCCGAGGUGGGUGGAUCACAAGGUCAGGAGUUUGAGACCAGCCCAGUCAAUAUGGUGAAACCCCAUCUCUACUAAAAAUACAAAAAUUAGCCGGGCAUGGUGGUGGAACAAUGGAGGCCUGCGAUUUGGAGUUAAACUCUCAGUGAUCUCUGUGUUGACAACACCAAAGCUAGAGGAAUCCAGUAGGAUGUGGGCAUGGUUUUCCCGGAAGGCUGACUGAGCAGUUCUGCAAAUGUUUGCAAGUACAGGGCAGAAUUUCAUCCAGCCUCAGAACCUUGAGCCAAGACUCAGCAUCAGCAAAGCCAAAAGUUUCAUUUCUUCGACUGUGGGAGUGCUAGUCCCAACCUUUAGAUGGCCAUUCAGUUUUAAGUUCAAUAAGCAUUUUGAUUGAGAAAUACUUUGCUGAGGAGUGAAAAGUCCUUGGCUUUGAAAGACGAAUGAUGAGCAGUUCAGUGGCCCAUGUCACAGUCCAGGCACCUGCCAAAGGUGACUCCCUGGGAGGAGCAUCUUAGUCACAGAGCCAGUGCCUGCUGUAGGUGUGCAGAAGGGUGCAUGUGUGUGUGUGUGUGUGUGUGUGUAUGUGUACGUGUACAUGUGUGUUGGGGGAAGGGAGCAAGGUUGUGGGAGCAUUUCUUAUCUGCUCUUCUCUGCAAGAUUUCCUGUGAUUUAAGUCACAUUAAAGUACCCAUAAGCCCGUAAUGCAAAAGAACCCCAAAACCAGCCCAGCAGCCAACCAUGGCAGCAAGUAGAUGCUCUGGUCUUUAGAUAGUCAGAAAUGACACUUCUGGGCUCUCAGGCAGUCAGUGGGUUGAGCUCCCCAUUAAAGUCCCCCUGCCAAGUCUGGAAUAGUCCUAGUCCCGUGUGUGUGUGUGUGUGUGUGUGUGUGUGUGUGUGUGUGUGUGUGUGUACCCGCGUGCAUAUGCGCGCAUGCAGUGCAGGGUCUGCAUACCUAAAGCAGAUGAAAUUCUGCAGAAUGGCUGCCUCACUAGACAAAGUCAAGAAGACAGACCGAGGAGAGAGAGGUUGAUGUGUCUCCACUACCAAGAGAUAGGCUUCUCUAAGCCAGCGAGACAUCCCAUCCAACAAUAUGAAACUGGCCACAUUUCCUUGAGAUGUCAACGUUGAAAGUGUAGCUGCAUCUUUAUUCUUCACUGUUAUGAAGUUGGGUGCAACACAGCUUGAGUGGAAUACAAAAACACCGCUUGGAAACACAUGAUCUGGAUUUGAAUCGCAGCUGUAUCAUUCACCUGCUAUAGACUUUGAGCAAGACCUCUCUGAGGUUAUUUCUUCACAGUAGGUAGAGACAAGACUUACUUCAAAGGUUCUUAAAGUUGAACCUGAGUCAAUGAAUGCAAAAGUGUUCACAUUUAAACUGUAAUUUUAAAGCACAAUACAAGUAAAUAGCAUUAAUAUCAUUAGAGAGAUUAACUUAGCACUGUGCGUCACAUGAUUCAUCACGGGCCAUCUGUGAGAUAUCAAAUAGAGAGGUGAAGCCUGCAGUAAUAAAAAAUACUGCCAUAGCUAUAACCAGUGUACUCUUCUCUUCCUAAACAAACAACAAACAAAUCUUGCCAGAGUCAAAAGGCAACAGUUUCGACUGCUUUUUCUGUUUUCUUGAAAGACAGAAGUCAAGCUUAGUCCCUUCUCUAUGAGAAAUGGUGAAGGAGGCACUCUCUUUGUUAGAGCUAUGGAGUGUGGCCAUGUGUGGAUCAAGCCAACGUCCUGCCUUCACUGGGCUCACAGACAACACUCACAAAUGUCACAGAGCUCAGAUCACCCCUCUCCAACACUUUUUCCUUCAUCAAAGAAAGUGCGUCCAAAUGCAAAUGAGAGCAAUGAUACCGUAUGCAUACCCAUGAAUCCACUCUUUGCUCAUUCUUAUUUUGAAUGCACUCCUAUUUCAAACCUUUGGUACUUCCUAUUAUUGAUAACAAAUUACUUCACAACCGAUUGACAUGUGAUGGCACAACUGAAAGUCAAGAUUGAGGACAAAUGUCUGCAGCCGUGGGUGGGGGCAGGAAUUUGUUUUAUGCAUCUUAGUAUUUCCAAUGCCCAGGUAGAUGCUCAUUGCUGACUUGAAUUGGCCCUAGCCUGGGAAGGAGAAACCUCACAGCUCCCUACCCAUGAGCUCUGGGGCCAUUCCUAAUGCAGAGGGGCUAGUUGGGUAGUCAUAGCCCUUUUAGGAGCAUCACAGUCAUGACAAGAGACCAGAAAUGGCCUCUACAGGAGAUUUCAAUGUAGGACAAACCAGCUCCCUUCACACUCUGUGGUAGUGACAGUUUUAAGUGGAGGAGUAAGUGCCCAGCUUCUUUCAUGCCUGCCUUUGAAGAGGGUGGCCUCUUGCCAGCAAGAAGUGUCUGAGGUUUGGGUGGGUGAGAGCUGGAUGAAAUGAGUGUGUAGGUGGUACUGCCCAGGGAAUAAAUGUGAAAAGCCAAAGCAAACCUUCAAGUGCACAGCAAAGAGAUGCAUUCUCAGCUGUGUUCCUAAAGACAUUCAAAAUCACAUGCGUCUAUCUGGGUCAUGUGGGCGGAUCUGUAACCCAGGGCAUCCACAGAUACCAGAGCCAAAGCUGGCAUGGCUGUUCCCCGCCAGGCUGGGGAGGCCUUGCCAGGGCAGCAGCCCCAGCCACACGCCCUUGUGUUGGAGCAGUCUGGAGGCUGCCAGCCUGUGGGGCUGGUGUUGAACUCCUGGUCUCAAGUGAUCCUCCCACCUUGGCCUCUCAAAGUGCUGGGAUUACAGGUGUGAGCAAUCACGCCCAGCUAUAAAAUUUCUUAAAAGCCUUACUUUUCAGAUGGGGAACUAAUGAACAAGUAGAUAGGGUUGCCUGCCUGCUACCCCUGCCUCCCCACCCCACACCUGGUUAUGAACACCUGGAAGAGACAAGAUGAGAAUCCAGGACACUUUCUUCUGCACAUCAAGUAGCAAGAGACAAGAGGCUAUGGAAUGUUUAUUUGAUUGUGCUGGUGAUAGAGGGGAUUCAUUGAGGAGAAGAAAAAUGGUGGGGGGUAGGAGAAAGAUAAAAGCAUCUUGAUCUCCCACCUUUAAUUUGCAUAAAACAUUUCAGCUCAAGAAGCUAACAUUUGGUAAUUUCUGAAUAAUCACAAGGGCCUGUGACAAAGCAAUUCUGGAAACAACUGAGCCAUGGGCCCCUCUGCUCUUCUCACAAACGCUGUUGUUCAUUUGCUGAAGGGUGAACUCAUCGGUCUUCAAAGCACCUAACUCCUUGGAGGUGGGCAGAGGCUGAAUCCAACUGCCAACUCCCAUCUGCACAGCCAAGCUGGCAGCAUCACUUCUUUCCCUCCACUCCCAGUCACAUGGCCAAACCAGCAGGUUCUUGGAGCAUCUGCUUCUGCCCCACAUGGUGGGCUCCACCUGGGAGACUUUCCAUCACUGACUCUUUGAAAGAGUCUGUUUGUCUGUGGGAAAGAGAGUUGCUGUCACCCAUAAAACUUCUGACCCCAGCCAUCCAACAAGAGUGUACCUGCUGGGUAGGGUAGACAUGUGCUUGCCUGAUUUCUAGCUAUGGUUCCCUGGAGGUAAUUAAGUAAAAAAGAAAUGCCUUUGGGUUUUGGCCCAGCUCAAAGUAAAAUUAGAGAAGGCCUGGAAGGGGAAAGAGAAACUGCAGUUUGGGCAAAUCUCUUUCAUUUGUAGUUUCUUUCUUCUCUCAGACACCAUGGCAGCUUUCUUCCUAAGACUCUCCCAGGGAGCUGGUGGAAAAGACUGGGCCUGAGGACCCUGGAGCGAGGAGUCAAUGGAGGAUGCUGAAGGUUGAGAGGGGCACAGUGCGCAGCUACAGUCAUCAGCAAAAGCAGCUUCCAUCGUGGUGUGGAGGGAGCAGCCAGACCAUUCCAGCACAUCGCUCCUUUGAAUGCUGGGUGUCCACGCCCAGAUGGCCUUUCCCUAAAGGAAUGCAAGCCUGUCACCAUGCAGGGGGGAGCAUCCUCCUCCUUUCUACCUUUUGUUUGUAGUUGUUCAUUUAUUUUAAUAAAAGUGAUUCUGAGUUUUUAUUAGGAAAAAACAAACACACAAGGAACAAAGGCAGUAGGAGUUUUAAGUCUUGGCCUGUGGAGGAGGCAGUCGCAGCACCGGAGCAUCGACCCAACUUCGGGUCUCCAUCAGGCGCUGUGGUCUGGGAAGGCGAGUGGCCAUGUAAGGCACCACUGUUCAGAGAGACCAGGGUCUGGAGGCAGAAGCCCCUCUACUGAAUGCUCCUGCAGGCCCCUGUAUCAGCAGUGAAGAAGGAUACUCCAAAGUUAGGUCCUGUUUUGCCCAAGAGCACACAGCCAGGAAAGAGUGGCACCAGCCUCCAGAGUCCAGGAUCUUUCUUUCUGCAGUAUCUCACAAUUUCAACUUGCCCUCUUUGUCUUAACACUUUUUUCUUAAAGCCUCCAGAGGAAGCCUUCAUUCAGAGAUGCAAUGUGCAGGGGAAGCUGCACGUCCACAGAGCUGAGGCCCCAGGCAACCCAGAGCAUCCUAAAACCCUGUGGAACUUCAGGGGAGAAACAGGUGGAAGGAGAGGCCUUCCCAAGGAAGUGAGGCAUAGCCAGCUGGCAGCCACCACCUCAUUUCUUUGAGAGCUUCACAAAUCCCAGUCCCUUGCUUGACUGAGGAUUUUUAUAAGAAAGACCCACGGGUUUAUUCUACAACAUACCAGUGCCCAGGAAAAUUACAUGAGCCCAGAAGUUCAAGGCAAUAGUGCACUAUGAUUGUACCUGUGAAUAUAGCCACCGCACUCCAGCUUGGGCAACAUAAUGAGAUUCUGUCUCUAAAAUAAAAAAUUGUAAAAUUCAACUUUGAGCUGCUUCAUCUGACCCAAGCUGGCCUGGAGAAAGGAGGAAGAGGCAAGUUUUUUUUUUUUCUUUUUAAGAGACAGGGUUUUGCUCUGUCACAGGCUGGAGUGUGGUGGCAAGAUUAUAGCUUGCUGCAGCCUCAAACUCCUAGGCUCAAGCAAUCCGCUGGCCUUAGCCUCCCGAGUAGGUAGGACUACAGGAGUGUACCACGACACCUGCUAAUUUUUUAAAUAGAGACAGAGUCUUGCUUUGUUUCCCAGGCUGGUCUUGAACUCCUGCUUCAAGCAUCCUUCUGCUUCAGCCUCCCAAAGUACUGGGAUUACAGGUGUGAGCCACUGUGCCUGGCUGUGUUUCACUUUUUAAAAAUCCCUAAUACACACACAGCUGAUCGUUAAAUGUCAAUAAUUUUUAAAAGUUGUUUUCCUGUUUGGAGUGCAUUUUUUAUGUCUUCAAGUGAGACCCCUCACCACACAGGUAGUAUAUAUGAUAAGCAGUCCCUCUGGAAACCUAAGGAGGGCCUGGCCUGAUCACAGUUCCAAUUCCAGGCAACUUCUGAGCAGCUGUCUUUGAGUUAAGUAAAGCAGGACACACCUGUGAGCUCUUCUGCCUAGCACAGGCCGCGGUGGCCAGCCUUGGACCACAGAGGGCAGGCUCUCUUUGCUGGUCCCUGGGCUGUUCAUCUGCUGCCCAGAGAUCACUGUUCCAGGCUUGAUCAGGAUCAGGAUCAGGUCUGAAGCCUCUGACAUGCGUGGGCAGCUGCCAUUCUAUCAUGAAAUUGGCUAUUAUUAUUUAUGGCCCCUCUCCACUCCCACAUGAACUAAACUGUGGGUCUUGGCAAUCAUCCUCUGAGAGAAAAUGCUUUGUUUGAGCAGUGGGUUGAAAGGCUGGCUGGAGGGAAAGAAGAUUCUUCCUUGCUGGAGUUUAAAAACAAGACAUGGGGCCGGGAGGAGGAGAGAAUCACUGAGGCCGGUAUAUGAUCACCUCAUGAGUUCUUCUGCCCAUCCACCCCCGCCCCCGCAACAAGGUACAGCUUUAAUGAGGUGAUUUCACCCCUACAGAAAUCCUCUGUCCACCUUCUGUACCAAGCCAAAAAAGCAGGAGGCACGAUUCCCUUGUGUUGUGUGCUGUUAGCUUUCAGAAC
rnacentral:lncRNA from 1 species